ACAAGCCAGAGCUGCCUCCCGCCUUACUUGUUACACAGGACAGAGAUAAAUUUUCCUUCAGAUUUGCCUUCACUAAUACUCACACCCUUGUGUCCUACUGUCCAAAGAAAAGGAAAAAUGUACUCCUGAUGACAACUCUGCACAGGCAUGCAGCUGUGCGCACCAGGGAGGACAAAAAACCCAAUACCAUCCUGGAUUAGAACAGGAACAAAGGCAGAGUCGACAACCUUGAUAAGUUACUGGCACAUACUCUUUUCAGAGGAAGACAGCACAUUGGCCGAUGAUGUUAUUUUUCAACAUAUUAGAUGUGUCAUCUUACAACGCAUUUGUGGUGUGGAUGGAGGUGAAUCCAGGAUGGAAGCAGGGGAAAUUUUUCAAGAGGAGGCUAUUUCUGGAGGAGUUGGGGAAAACCAUGCGGGCAUCUCACAUUCAACAACGCCAGCACCUUCCCCGAAUGCCAGCCUCAGCCGCAUUGGUAACAUAGUUCCAGGAGUAAGAAACAAGAUCACUUGCUACAAGAAAGAGGUGAUAAGAGGAAGAGGUGCAGUCUGUGUGCACCAAGAGAUGUCAAAACAAGCAUAACAUGCCAUAAAUGCAAUGCAUAUUUUUGCAAGAGACACGCAACAACCUGCGCAUAUUGUCCAACAUGUGCAUGAGCAAAAAAACACCACUGAAGUUUGAGUCAACACAAUCCACCACAUUUAAAGACUGAUUUUGUUAUCGGUUGACAGUUUUUUUCUGUUAUCAGGCAAAAACACAUCUAAUAGACUGGUUAACAUGUUAUUGUUCUUGUAAGUUAUUUGUUAAUGUAUGAAGACAUUGAUCUUGGAAUAUUGUGAAAUUGUCAAGUGUAGUUUUGGAAUAAUUUCCUUUGUAUACAAUUAAAAUAUUCAUGGUCCCUUUUGACCGGGAACACAA